rnacentral:lncRNA from 1 species
GCUGGAUCCUUAACCCACUGAACAAGGCCAGGGAUCGAACCCAUGUCCUCAUGGAUGCUUCUUGGGUUUGCUAACCGCUGAGCCACAACAGAAACUCCCUGGAUCUGAGAUUCUUUUGAACUCUGGCUAAUAUUGACCAGAACAUGCCCUCUGUGUCAUUUUAUGUAAAGUCUCUUUGGAAAAAGCUUACAAUUCUAGGAAUGUAUUUCCAUUUUUGGUUUCACCCUUACUCCCACUUUCUAUAAAUUGACCUUGAUUUUCCUUUUUUCAGAGGGUCACCUAUACAGAAGGUAAAAGCAUACCUAAUACAAACAUAAUUCAAUACAUAAAUGAAUUUGCCCAGAAUUAAUGAUAAUCUCAAUGAGUGUGUUGUUUUGAUAUGUAGGCAGAGGGGUUUUGGGGUUUUUUUUGUUUGUUUGUUUGUUCGUUUUUUAACCUGUCUCCAAGAAGAGUGGGAUUCAGGAGGGGAAGAAGGAAUGUGAAAGACAGGGCAGGUCAUAAUUCAAACAAUGACAAGAGAGCUCUUGUAUAGUAUAACUCUGAGAAUUUUCAUAGGGGUUUUAGGGAUUAGCAACUGUAGUUGUUUAAACAAGUGAAACAUUCAUAGCUUCAAGUUUAUGAGGUGUUUAAAAAUCGCUAUGACUAACAAUGUAUUUUUCCCUUGUCAGAAGAGUCAACUGAGACUAGCUUCCAGGCCCCAUGGCAUAGCCAUAAGCAGCUCAGACUUUUAUAAUGCAUGUCCUUUCAUCCCUCUCUGAGAAGGCCAUACCUCACACUCUCUCUGACAGAUGGCAAUGCAUGUUCUUCUAUAUUCUUAGGUAAGAUACACUACACCCUAAAUAUCUCUGAAGGCUAGAGGUUUCUAUUUUCACAUAUUAGAUGUUUCGUCCCUUCCCAGUGUACUUACCUGGUGAGCGCAGUAAGCAGGAGUUGUUUUGGUCUGUGGGGCUCUUGUUCAAAUCCAGUCAUCCACCUUCUGCAAUGCCUUGCCUAAAGAGCUAUACCAAAAUAGAUUUGGACAUCUUUUCUCCUUUUUAAUUGCAAGCACAGAAAACUAACUUGAGCUUACUAAGGUCAAAGAAGAAAUCUAAAAUGGCAUAUUUUCCCUUCAAUAUAGAAAGGAGGGAUACUUAGUCCUUUCUCUCUUUUACUUGCCAUGGUCCCUGUGCAAGAAGUUGUAGGCUCUGUUUUAGUUAUCCAACAUGUGUGUGGCUUAUUUCGUGUAAAGCUAUGUGGAAGAUACAUUUAGUUAAACUCAUUGACUUGCACCCUCAUAUGGUGGUUCCCAGGCUAGGGGCCAAGUCAGAGUUAUAGCCACUGGCCUGGGCCACAGCGACAGCAACUCAGGAUCCGAGCUGCGACCUACUCCACAGCUCACAGCAACGUCAGAUCCUUAACCCACUGAUUGAGGCCAGGGAUCGAACCCACAACCUUAUGGUUACUAGUUGAAUUCGUCUCCACUGCGCCAACACGAGAACUCCAAUCUCAUUGUCUUUUCUCCCUUGAAGUUUCAAAAAAAAGAGAAGAAAAACUAAAAUCUUUGCUCUUUAUUUCUAAUUGUUAUUUGAUUUACAGCAGUUUCUAACCACACUAAUAAAUAUCUCUAAUUCUAGCCUUGUUAAAAGGCAAAUUAACAUUCUAUAAGCAAAAAGUUCUGUAUCCUAGAAAGAGGAAGGAACCCUAAAAUAUUUAUAAUAUUUUAAGAUGGUGGCAUUAAUUCUUCCCUACUGUGCGUCUUUGUCACUUUUUCCGAGAUACUGGUUCACGAGUGAGUGAGAAAAAACAUCAUUCAUCUAACGCUGAUAGAUAUUUACCUAAUAUGCCCAAAUGGAAGUCUUAUUAAACGACCUAUGAAUACAGUCAACUUGGUACUGAACAUAUCUUCUAAAUUCAAUUUUCAACCCCAGGAGUAGAAUUGAGACAGGUUUCACGAUGUCGUCUUCUGUUCUACACCAGUGUGGAGGGUGGUAGCUGACCCCAAGCCCCAGUGCUGUUCUUAGACAAAGAUAGAAUCAUGCAUCUUCAAGGAUCUGAAUCACCUGUCAUUUUCCUGACAAAUCACCAUGCUACGUCUUCUUAGACCUGGCCAGUGUGUACUAUUCCCAGCGGCCCCUUCUACCGCUGGGGCAGCUUUUUUCUGUGAAAGUUCUUCCUCAUGAUAGACAAAACUCCAGUUCUGGAGCUUCUGCAGAAGGCUAAUGUCUAAAUCUUUGCCUCUAGGUCAGAUCACUAACUCUUGCAACUUCUCCUCAUUUAUUGAUGUGGUAUCAAAUCCAGUCACCCUCUUGCUUCUCUUUUGAACAGUUGAACCCAACAAUACUUUCUAAUUUUAUUUCAGUCUACUCAGUGAAUUGUAGCAAACACUUUGGGUCAGACUAGGUAAAAAUACUUUCUUCAGGGUUUAAAGUAAAUGGAAUUGGAAUAAUCCAAAGGAAACUGAUAUUUGAUGUGGAAAUUUCCCCCAAAGACUCAGACUUAGGAUAGUGAAAGCUAGGUGAGGAUAGAUCUCCCAUGUGUGCAAAACAGUCCUCCGCUCUGUGCCCUUUCCUGGUUUUGAUGUUACUAAAAUCAGAGUCAAAAUAAGAAGUGAGCUAGUACAUAUGUCACCAAUUAGAUUCCCACUUCUUGGCAAGUGUUCACAAAGUCUCUUCAACCCUUUCCCUUUGUCCUUGCCUGCUCAAGAAUAAGACAUUUCUUGUGUAAGUUCUCAUACUGAAUAUGCAAAAGGAGGCCUGGGCCGAUGUUCCCAUUGUGGCUCAGUGAGUUAAGAACCUGACUAGUAUCCAAGAGGAUGCAGGUUUGAUCCCUGCCCUAGUUCAAUGGGUUAAGGAUCCAGCAUAGGUCACAAACUGCAGUAUAGGUUGCAGAUGUGGUUUAGAUCUGGCAUUGCUGUGGCUGUAGCAUAGGCCAGCAGUUGCAGCUUUGAUCUCCAAUUCAACCCCUAGCCCAGGAACUUCCAUAUGCCAUAGGUGUGGCCUUAAAGAAAAAAAAAGGAAAGAAAAAAAAGGAGUCCUGGGUAUUUUAUAGGUUCCACACCAAUGUCUCUGGCUGGUUGGUUUUGGAGAUUUGCUUUCAUUCUUCUGUGCUCAAUUGUUUGUACAUAGAGAGAUGUUGCACUUUAGAUCAAGUGAACAACUUCCCUACUUGAUCAAUUAAGAACUAUCCUCAGGAGUCCAUAUUUUCUUUAUACUUUUGUCUUUCUAACAUCUUUAUCCCUUACUCACCUCCUCAAUUUAAUAAUCACUGUAAGAGAGUCAGCUCCUAAGUAACUGUGAUGCAAGCCAACUGCAAUACAAUCAAAUUGGUUCUAUCUGCAUCCCUUAAGAAGGGAUACAGCAUCAGGAAAAAUAAUUCUUCCCAGUGGCGUCAGUAAGGUUUUAUGGAAGAAUGAAAUCUUUUGAGAAAUCUUGAUUUGAUUCAUUGGCUUGAAGUUGAGAGAAGAAUAUUUAGGGCAUGAGAAACAGCAGGGAAGCAUAGUUUAUACCCAGAGAAGAUCCUCUGCUUUAAGUAUCACAAAUUCUGGAAUGUCCUUAACAGGAGAAAAGGUUUCCAGAUAUUCAGGGUCAGUGAGAAGAGAAAGACACAGAGGAAAGUUCAUUUGAUUGAUGUUUGCUUUUUCAUCUCGAUAUAAUUGUGAAAUAGGAUAAGUUGUCAAAAUAUAAUCCAAUAUAUACAGUAUGAACAGGAAGCUUUAUGAUAACAUUCAAAAUGUACAUUUGCAUUGGCUCAUAGCUACAUACUCCACUUAUGCACUGAACACCCCCAUCUUCUGAGGCCUCACAAGACAAUGAGCAGAGCACCUCUAUUGGUCCACAGUUGGAAAGGAUUCCACAUUCCUCACUUCCUCUCACUGUUAAAAUUCUCUUUCAGAUUUAUUGCUAAGUGAUAAUCCAGACUCUGCUCAAACAUCACCUGCAUCAAGGAGCACAUUACUUCUUGAGCUUUUCCAUUUUCUCCAUCACACUUUGUUCCAAACUCCCAGAACCAGCCUUCGGGGCAUAGGUGCUUCCAGGUGCCACACAAAAUUAAUCUUUAGUACAUAAUAAAAUAUUGCUUCCUCCCUCCAUUUUCCUUUCAAAUAUAUUUUAGUUUUGGCAACGCAUUACUUUUUAAAAAAAUUUUUUUUUGAUUUUUAGCUAAAGAUUAUGAAAAACUUUAACAUUCUUAAAAAUAGUCUGAAGGGUUUUCUGAAGGUUAAGUUUUAGAGUUUAUGAGUUUGGGGGUGCUGUUUUUACUUUCUUAUAAAAGACAAACUUUUCUGAUAGUCAUUAUGUAACCUCAUGCCUUCCCCCAGUAAUUAACUCCUGAAACACUCUCCAGUUAUCCAGCUGCUGAUAAUGACCUUAAAAUGUUGGGAAAUGUCAGUGUGUGAUCUCCACUUCUUAACAAGGAAAACAUCAAAAGCAGAAGAUACUGGUUCUGUUGAAAUGCAUUACUUCUGGCCAGUUGUUCUGUGCAAAAGGAAGGUUACGUUCUGGUUUUAUGUAGAAAUGUAGAAAUUCUUUCCCUAUUGUCUUGAGUUACUGUUUAGUUUCAAUAGUAUUCCUUGGGCUUUGGGAGGACCAGGCUUGCAUCCUCUUCCACCUUGGCCUUGAAUUUGAGAGCCCUAUGGGCAGAACCUGUCAUCCUUCUCCUGGGCAGGACCUGGGGGUAGCUUUUCGAGCUCUAAAAUAGUAAUUCCUAAGAGAGCUUACAAACUGCUUUUGCACAUGAAACAGCCCGGGAGGAAGGUUAUUAAUAGCCCUAUCCUAGACAAGAAAGCUGAGGCUCAGAAUUGUUAAGUGACUUGCCAAAAGCAAUAGAGCUGGUAAGUGGCAGAUUUGGGGACAUACCCAGGUCUUGCAAGUCCAGUGCUCACUCUGGUGGCUGUUCCCAGGGCACAGAAUACCUCAGAGCACGUGGCAUGCAUCUCACAGACCACCAUGCCCCGUGUUAAGGGCAUCCAAGGAAAUUCACACGGAUCACUUAGCUAUCAGGUGGCAGAGCUGUAUGUGCACUGUGGUGCUUGUGACCAUUUAGAGCUUUCGUGCAUUUUCUGUGUCAUCUUGUGGGAAACUACUAGCUAUUUUAUCUGAUUGGCAGCGUGAUGGAGUGGGUGAGGAAAGGCCACCGCUUAGAACAAACACUGUGGCACUGAAGUACACUGCAGCAAAUUUCCCCUGGGACCGUGGUUUGCUUUACAUUAACUGAAAAACUCUCUGGAACUGUGAGGUUCAGAAUAUCAACCGAGACCAUGCCAUUUAGAAUUCAGUGGCAUGUGAGGGUGACUUGAUCCUUACAAGAAGCUGCUCUCCCGUGGGCUACAACUUAUGCCCCGCAGAGGCAGGAACUGCUGGAGGUAAACAAUGCAUAUUCUUCUCUCUGCUCACAUUUAUCGAGGCCCACAACUUUUGCCCUUUGAGGGCCUGGACUUUCCCAGCUGUUGUCGUUUUGUUUUUUGUGAGUGGUUAUCAUGGGGAGUUUGGUACUGUGCCGUUUCCAGCACACUUCCUGAGAAGCCUGCAUGCAUGUUCUAGAACCUGCUCUGCGUGGCAUUUCAACAACCAGGUCUUCUCUUCAGCUUCCUCCCUGGGGAACCCAUGCCUUUUAAUGUGUGCUCAGCUUUUCAUUUCCUCCCAUUUCUCAUUAUAGUUGUUGGCUUUAAGUUAAAAUCUAUUAACUGGUUGCAAAAUAUUCUUUCUUCAUCCAGUUCAAUCUACUGCAGGGAACCUUUAAAAUGGUCUUAUCUGAUAAGCUUUCUAGGCAUUUUCCCUCCCUAGAGUCUACCAUCCAUCAAGGCGGUCUCAUCAUCUGUCUGCUAAAUUCCCUUGGAUUGAUGAGGGCCAAGUUAAAUGGCAAAUGGCCCCUCACCCUUUUCCAGUCUUCACACCUGGGAAAUAACAUGUGCGGCCAGUGGGGCUAGCACAGUAGUAGCCUUGGCUGAGAAGGCAACAUUCAGACACUGGAAAGGUGCUUCAUGUUCCUGUAAGGUUUGAUGUUAUGAUUGAUGAAGUAGAAAAUGAUUCUUGUAGAAAAAAUGGCAUACCCCCACCACAGGCAUGGAUUAGCAGGAGCAUUGAGAAAACUUUUCCGAAUGAUCUAGGUGAAUACGCCUGAGCAGAGAUUCACGUGGGUGGAACCUGUGAUAUCUUAUUAGAGGGAAUAAGAGGUAUCAAUAUGAAAAAGCAGCCCUUUAAAAAAAUUAAGGGAGCCACAGACUCUCGUUUAUCUUUACAAAAUGUAAAGGAAAUUUUGAAUACCUUUUUUCUUUCUCCAUUCUACAAAAUAUUGCCCCCUAUACUUAAGGAAAAUACAAUAGUGCUGUCUUCAAAAUACACAUCUGUGCUUGUGCAUGCACAUAUGCAUGCGCGUGCGUGCACGCACACACACACACACACACACACACACACACACACCUUCCAAGAAAGCUGAUCUUUCAAAAAGGAAAUUUUAUUUUAAAACACUUGGAUUUUUCAGGCCAAGAAACUAAUAAUUCCUAGACCUGACCCAUUUUUUGUGACUGCCAAAAAAGAAAAGGAAAAAA